UAGCCGUAAACGAUACUCGCUAGGUGUCGGCCACGGUGCGACCGUUGUCGGUGCCGUAGGGAAGCCGUGAAGCGUGCCACCUGGGAAGUACGGCCGCAAGGCUGAAACUUAAAGGAAUUGGCGGGGGAGCACAACAACGGGUGGAGCUUGCGGUUUAAUUGGAUUCAACGCCGGAAAUCUUACCGGGACCGACAGCAACAUGAAGGCCAAGCUGAAGACUUUGCCGGAUUAGCUGAGAGGAGGUGCAUGGCGUAGUCGUGU
rnacentral:rRNA from 1 species